GCUACGAUGAAUAUUAUAUUAAAAACUAUUUUAUUUUCUCAGUUAAUUUUGAUUGGAUGCUCUCAAACUUGUUGAGAAUCCAAAGAACUGGAGAAUAAUUGCGGUAGAUAUUGUUUUAAGGUAGUGAAGCCUAUUUUAGACCGCACGGUCCAAACAAAAAGAUACACAACAAAAAUUUGAAAAUAUUGAGCUAAAGUUGAAGAUAUUACUGGAUGAGAUGGCUAAGCUAAAACUGAAUUCUGUUCAAGAGAAAUCAGAAGGAAGAAGGUCUAAAAGUUACAAAGGAUUAUUUGAGAAAAUUGGAUCGAAGUAUUAUUAUUUUGAAAGAAAUCAAACAGAGAAUUGGUUUACUGCUGUCCACAAGUGUCACGAAUUCGGUGGACACUAGACUAGUCUACAAAAUUGAAGGGAAUUCAAUGCGUUAAUACCACUGGCCAUAAAGCACCCAACUUCAAUUGGCACCAGGGAGAAGCCAAUCAUAACCUUAAUGUUGAGAGAUGCGUCAUUUUGGAUUAUGGAUCCAAUGGGUUUCAAAUGAACGAUUAAGAUUGCAACUUUGACGGAUAUUUUAUCUGUGAAUUGUAUAAUCAUAAGUAAAAUAAAAAUCUAAGAAAACCUUAUCUCUUUGUAUCCAUACUAAAAAUCAGAACUCUCGAUUUAGUAAUCCUUUCAGCCAUUCCCCUCUCCACCGAGCAGUAACCGUGACAGCCCAAUUAAACGCACUAACAAAAAAAAAAAAAAAAAGCGAAAUUUUUUGUAUUUCAUCUCACACAUACGAAAAUGUAAUCAGCGGUAGAAAAUAAACUCAGCUUGCUUGACUUUAAAGUUGGCCUCAAAAAUGCAAAAGAAGAAUUAAAAAAU